rnacentral:tRNA from 1 species
GCCUGGGUGGCUCAGUCAGUUAAGCGCCUGACUUUGGCUCAGGUCAUGAUCUCACAGCUCGUGAGUUUGAGGCUCACGGGUUCGAGCCCCGCGUCGGGCU